UACGACUACAUAUCAGGCAUAUCAAUAAGCGGAGGAAAAGAAACUAACUAGGAUUCCCUUAGUAACGGCGAGUGAAGCGGGAAGAGCUCAAAUUUGAAAUCUUCAAGGUUCUACCUUGACGAAUUGUAGUUUAAAGAAGUGUUUUCUGUUGGAGUUUUGGUAAAAGUUCUUUGGAAUAGGACAUCAUAGAGGGUGAGAAUCCCGUAUUUGACCAUUAUUUCCAGCUGUGUGAUACACUUUCAACGAGUCGGAUUGUUUGGGAAUGCAGUCCAAAAUGGGUGGUAAAUUUCAUCUAAAGCUAAAUAUUGGCGAGAGACCGAUAGCGAACAAGUACCGUGAGGGAAAGAUGAAAAGAACUUUGAAAAGAGAGUUAAACAGUACGUGAAAUUGUCAAAAGGGAAGCGUUUGACACCAGUGUUGUUUUUCCGAAAAUCAAUUACGAAUGUUUUGUUUUUGAGGAGUUAUGACUUCAUCGGCUUGCUCCUUUCUUUACGAAACUUUCUUAAUGCACUUUUCGGUUAACAAGUCAACAUCAAUUUCUUUUGUUGUAAAAGGGUAUGAGGAAGGUGGCUUUCUUUUCGGAGAAAGUGUUUAUAGCCUUGUAGCCUCUGCAAUCGGAGAGAUUGAGGUCUGCAGCGUAGAUCCUUCGGGGUUAGAUACAGUUUGUGCUAAGUUAUAGCUUUUCAUAGACAACUUGUUGACUAUGUUUAGUCUUGUAGCUUACUCGCUGAUGCUAUUUUACCUACGCUUAGGAUGUUGAUCUCUCACAGUCGAGC
rnacentral:rRNA from 1 species